rnacentral:rRNA from 1 species
CUUAAGCAUAUAAGUAAGCGGAGGACAAGAAACUAAACAGGAUCCCCAUAGUAAUGGCGAAUGAACCGGGAUAAACUCAGCAUGGAAAUUGGGGCCUUUGGCUUUGACUUGUAAUCUGGUGAGGCAUUGCCAACAGAGGCGCAUAUGUAAGUCUCUUGGAAAAGAGCAUCAACGAAGGUGAGAGUCCUGAUUGUCAUGUGCAGCCCCCCUGUGCACGGUGUGCCUUCUAAGAGUCACGUUCCUUGGGAUUGGAGCGCAAAUUGGGUGGUAACUUUCAUCUGAAGUUAAACAAUGGUUUGGGACCGAUAGGAAACAAGUACCAUGAGGGAAAGGUGAAAAGGACUUUGGAAAGAGAGUUAAAAGUGCCUGAAAUUGCUGAAGGGGAAGCGAAUGGAACCAGUGGUGCUGGGUGAGAUUGUCACAUGCUGCAAGGAUUGGUUGCUGCCACAACGCAAGUGUGCUGGCAAUUUGUGAACUGCUAGUGUGUGGUGUGUCUUACCUAGUGGGUCAUUGUGGGUUUAUGCAUUAAGAUAAAUCAAAGCAAGCGGGAGCAAGUUUACGAGUUUGUGAAUGUGUGUUGUUAUGCUUGUGCGUAAGCUUUAGUGUUUGUCUGGCUGCAGGGCUGUCCAUCCUCAAGCUUUGCUGUGGUUGCGAUGAGCAUAACCUUCUGCACAGAUCUU